AUGCAAGAUCAGGUCGGCCUGGACCUGGACGGCUUCCCGCUGGACCAUGAGUUUCCGGAGGACUACAGGCCCAAGGAAGAGGAUGAGUUGGACAUCAACAAGGAGCCUUUGUUCGAGGACAAGCUCGCCAAUGAAGCCAUUGGGGUGAAGCCGAAGCGCCAGAGCAAGCGGACAAUGGCAUACAUGGCGGCCGAGGACAAGCUCCUUUGUGAGUGUUGGAGGGACAUUGGGCAAUACCCCAAGGUCAGCGCCGAACAAAAGGCAUCAACCUUUUGGAUUUGUGUCCACUGUGAGUACCAUGAGCGCAAGAAGUUUGCGUCGUACCAAAUGCAAAGCACGCGUGGGUGGAUGUCCAUUUCAAAGCGGUGGAGGGUGAUCCAAUAA
rnacentral:rRNA from 1 species